rnacentral:rRNA from 1 species
GACGAACGCUGGCGGCGUGCUUAACACAUGCAAGUCGAACGCUGAAGCUUGGUGCUUGCACUGGGUGGAUGAGUGGCGAACGGGUGAGUAAUACGUGAGUAACCUGCCCUUGACUCUGGGAUAAGCCUGGGAAACUGGGUCUAAUACUGGAUAUGACAUGCCACUGCAUGGUGGUGUGUUGAAAGGGUUUUACUGGUUUUGGAUGGGCUCACGGCCUAUCAGCUUGUUGGUGGGGUAAUGGCCUACCAUGGCGACGACGGGUAGCCGGCCUGAGAGGGUGAACGGCCACAAUGGGACUGAGACACGGACCAGACGCCUACGGGAGGCAGCAGUGGGGAAUAUUGCACAAUGGGCGGAAGCCUGAUGCAGCGACGCCGCGUGAGGGAUGACGGCCUUCGGGUUGUAAACCUCUUUCAGCACGGAAGAAGCGAGAGUGACGGUACGUGCAGAAGAAGCGCCGGCUAACUACGUG